ACAGGGUGACAGCCCCGUACACAAAAGCGCAUGUGCUGUGAGCUCGAUGAGUAGGGCGGGACACGUGGUAUCCUGUCUGAAUAUGGGGGGACCAUCCUCCAAGGCUAAAUACUCCUGACUGACCGAUAGUGAACCAGUACCGUGAGGGAAAGGCGAAAAGAACCCCGGCGAGGGGAGUGAAAAAGAACCUGAAACCGUGUACGUACAAGCAGUGGGAGCACAGGUUUACCUGUGUGACUGCGUACCUUUUGUAUAAUGGGUCAGCGACUUAUAUUCUGUAGCAAGGUUAACCGUAUAGGGGAGCCGAAGGGAAACCGAGUCUUAACCGGGCGUUAAGUUGCAGGGUAUAGACCCGAAACCCGGUGAUCUAGCCAUGGGCAGGUUGAAGGUUGGGUAACACUAACUGGAGGACCGAACCGACUAAUGUUGAAAAAUUAGCGGAUGACCUGUGGCUGGGGGUGAAAGGCCAAUCAAACCGGGAGAUAGCUGGUUCUCCCCGAAAGCUAUUUAGGUAGCGCCUCGUGAAUUCAUCUCCGGGGGUAGAGCACUGUUUCGGCUAGGGGGCCAUCCCGGCUUACCAACCCGAUGCAAACUGCGAAUACCGGAGAAUGUUAUCACGGGAGACACACGGCGGGUGCUAACGUCCGUCGUGAAGAGGGAAACAACCCAGACCGCCAGCUAAGGUCCCAAAGUCAUGGUUAAGUGGGAAACGAUGUGGGAAGGCCCAGACAGCCAGGAUGUUGGCUUAGAAGCAGCCAUCAUUUAAAGAAAGCGUAAUAGCUCACUGGUCGAGUCGGCCUGCGCGGAAGAUGUAACGGGGCUAAACCAU
rnacentral:rRNA from 1 species